AUGGGGUCAGCUUCUCUCCUGCUAUGGGUACUGCUGCUCUGGGUUCCAGGUUCUACUGCAGACAUUGUGCUGACCCAGUCUCUGCCUUCACUGACUGUGUCUCUAGGGCAAAGGGCCACCGUGUCUUGUAGGUCCAGCCAGAGUGUCACUAUAGGUAGUAUUAUUCAUUAUCUUCACUGGUAUCAACAGAAACCAGGACAGCCCCCCAAACUCCUCAUCUAUGCAGCAUCCAACCUAGAAUCUGGGGUCCCUGCCAGGUUCAGUGGCAGUGGGUCUGGGACAGACUUCACCCUCACCAUCAAUCCUGUGGAGGCUGAUGAUGCUGCAACCUAUUACUGUCAGGAAUUUUUCAUUUCUUCUUUGAAGUCAUUUCUCUUUACUCAGAAGGCAUUUGUGGGUCUGAAGAGAUUCAUAUUGACUACGAGAACCCACAGGCUGUUCUUUCAGAGGGUCUAG